GGUUUAGUGGUGCUGAACUCUUUUACCUUUUGUUUGUCUGUAAAACUCUUUUUCUCCCCUUCAAAUCUGAAAGAUAGCUUUGCCUUGGUUAUAGGUUUUUUUCCCUUUCAUCACUUAGUAUAUACACUGCCACUCCUUUCUGGCCUGCAAAGUUUCUGCUGAAAAGUCAGCUGAUGGUCUUAUGGGGGUUCCCUUGUAGGUAACUAGUCGCUUUUCUCUUGCUGCUUUUAAGAUUCUCUCUUUAUCUUUAGUUUUGCCGUUUUACUUGUAAUAUGUCUCGAUGUGAACCUCUUUAGGUUGUUCUCGUUUAGGACUCUCUAUGCUUCCUGGACCUGGAUGUCUUUUUUCUUGCCCAGCUUAGGGAAGUUUUCAGCAAUUAUUUCUUCAAGUAAGUUAUCUGCUCCUUGUUCCCACUUUUCUCAUCCUGGGACCCCUAUCAUGCGAAUGUUAGUACGCUUGAUGUUGUCACAGAAGUCUCUUAAACUAUCUUCAUCUCUUCAUUUCAGAUGAUUUCCACUACUCUGUCUUCCAGACCACAGAUCCAGUCCUCUGUAUGAUCUAAUCAACAGUUGAUUCCUUCUAGUGUUGUUUUUUUUUUCCCCAGCAAUUCUAGUCUUCAGCUCUGUUUGGUUCUUCUUUAUAUUGUCUCUUUGUUGGAAUUCUCACUGUGUUCAUUCUUCUUCUGAGUUCCAUGAACAUCUUUAUGAUCAUUACCUUUUGUUUAGUUCUUUUCCUGAGGUCCUCUGUCUCCUCAUUUUGCCUAAUUCCCUGUGUUUGUUUCUAUGUGUUAGGAUAUUUGGUUACGUUUCCCAGUCUUGGAUGAGUGGCCUUCUGUAGGAGAUGUUCCGUGGGGCCCAGCAGUGCACUUCCCUCUGGCACCAGAGCUCUGUGCUCUAGGGGUGAACUUCACGUGGGCUGCGUGAACCCUUCUGUUGUGGUGGCACCGACUACUGUGGGCCCAGUGAAGGGCAGGGUAGCCUUCCUGAGCAGCUAGCUGUGUGGCCCAGGUGGGGCGUGGGACCACUGCCAGCCCACUGGUGGCCAGGGCCAGGUCCCCACAUGGCCGACUGCAACCUGGGGCACUUGGAGAUGGGUCCUACCGCAGCUGAGUAUGGGGCUUGGGGGAAUCCCCAGUGCUGAUGCUGGCGCACCGGUGGGUGGGGCUGGACCCUGGACUUGCUGGUGGUCAGGGCUGGGUCCCUGUGCAACUUGCUGCUCAGCCGGGGAGGAGGGGGGCAGUCCCAGGACUGGUGCUGACCGGCUCAUGUUGGGUAAGCCCCUGGCACUAAUAGGCUAGAGAGAGGACACCAAAAUGGUCCUUGCCAGCAUCUGUGUCCAUGUGGUAGAACAAGCCUCCAAACCUGGCUGCUGCAGCAUCUGUGUCCCCAGGGGGUGUCAACAUCUGUGUCCCCUGGGGGGGCAGGAGGCUCUCCAAGAUCAGCAAGGGGUCUGACCCAGGCUCCUUCAAAUUACUGCCUCUGCCCUGGGUCUUGGAGUGUGUGAGAUUUUGCCUUUAAGAGCAGAGCCUAUUACCCACAGCCCUCUGGCUCUCUUGAAAGUAAGCCCCACUGGCCUUCAAAGCCAGACAUUCGGGGGGUUCAUCUUCCUGGUGCAAGACCCCCAAGCUGGGGAGCUACACGUGGGGCUCAGACCCAUUGCUCCUUGGGGAGAACCUCUAUGCUUGUGAAAUCCCUCCCAUUUGUGGGUUGGAGACCCGAGGGUGGGGGUCUUGGCUCUACUGUGUCUCCAGCCCUCCUGCCUGUCUGGUGGCGGCUCCUUCCUUCCGUAUACCCUCAGCUGUGGGAGAUGCUGCCAGCCUCUGGUCACUCUCGCUGACAGCUGCCCUGUGAGCGGUUGUUAGAGUCUGGAUGUGCUCGCAGGAGGAGGUGAGCUCAGGGUCUCCUCCACCAUCUUGGCUCCUUCCCCAUCACUGCUGAUUUCGGAGUUGUUAACAGCCUCCUUUCACGGAGCUCACUCAUUCCUUUAUUUGCUCUGCAAAUACACGUGUGUGUCCUGGUGCCACAGGGAGCCUGCGGUCACCUGGAGACACACCGAGGCCCAUGGGACCCAGAGGAGGGGCCCUGCCUGAUGGUCAGGAGAGGCUGGCGUCCUCGGAGUGUGGACGUGACGGCGGAGUAGGGCUCAUGCCUGGAGGCUGGGGAGGGGCUACAUUCCAGAACGAGGGACAGAGGGCCACGCAGAGUCACACAGAGUGAAGAGGAGUCUCGCCUCGCGCCCAUGGUGUUCUGCAAUUUCACUGUCACAGUAGACCCUGUCCCCAGCUGGGCUGCACUUGCUCCCAGAUCCAGCCCGUCGCCACCUGCUUGGCGAGAACAUGGUGAAGACAGCCUAGCCCCACGUGCCAGGAAUCCACAGCAGGUGCAGGCUUGGCGCUUUGGGGUUAGUCACGCAGCCGCGUAAACCCCGACCCAACAAGCCAGCAGCCUCGGAGAUUUAAAGUUGUUUUAAGGGAUCUGCUGCCGGUCUCCAGGCUCUGGUUUCUUCUUUAGUUUUUCACCAUCUCCUUCUCCCACACUGCGCCUGGGUCCAGCUCUGGCCACAGAUGUGAGCAGCUGUCCCUAUGGCCAGCCCUCUGUCCUGAGGGUCAACCAGUGUCCAGAGCACAGAAGUUGCUCCCCAGUACUCACGCCCACGCACACAGGCACGCGUGCACACAUGCACACACAUGCAGCGUGUGUUGACAGGCUGGCGCUGGGCCCCUUCUUCGCUAGAAGCCGUGGACUAGCCUCGUGGAGGUGGAGCAACAAGGGAGCCGGCGCUGUGGGGGCUGAGGGCUGGGCCCCCCCCGCCCUCCCCCCACCGCUGCCCCCCGCUGCCCCCCCCCGCU